GUGGGUAUAGCUCAGUGGUAGAGCAUGUGCUUGGCAAGCUGAGGUCCUGGGUUCAAUCCCCAGUACCUCCA
rnacentral:tRNA from 1 species